AUAUUUUUUUAAAUCUAAGGUCAAAUGUACUAAUUGUGUACUAUUAGGUUUAAUGCUUGAAAUUAAUCUUGAGGCUUUUUAAUAUUAAUUGUGCAGGGCUUUAAUUUGCUAUUCUUUUAUAUUUAUCCUAUGUAAGGGAUAGUUGUCAGUAACAUUAUUAUACCUCACAUACCUUGUUCGAUAUUAGUAUCACCUCACUUUAAGGAUGAGUCUGAAUACAUUAUCUGGUGGGAUGGUGCUAUUUUUGUCUUGUAAACAAUUAUUGUAGUUUUUUCGUCAGACUUUCUGAUGUAAGAACUGCAAAGGGCUUCUGAAUAUAAUAACACCAAAAUGGCUUACUUAAUAACAUUGAGUGCUUUAAUUCAGAGUAGCCAGUCAGGGCAAAACAAUUAGCAGUACAGACCUUUAAGUACUGGAAUCUGAAGAGCUCAAGGAAUCAACAGCUAUAUGG